AUUAAUUUCAACUGCCGCGUUAUUUGUGUCACGGGGAUUUUGUGUCACAAAUGUCUAACGAAACUAACGAAAUUAUUACAUAAGUGUUUCUUCUCCGUUGGUUCACUUAAACAACAAAAAUGUAAACGGAUGGCUCGCGGCAUUUUUUU
rnacentral:telomerase_RNA from 1 species